ensembl:lncRNA
UUAUCUUUCCAUGUUUCAAUUUUGUAUACAAUACUCUCAGCUUAUCAAUGAUAUGUCAUUCUUACCGUUUCCCACCUGUUGAAAUAUCCCUCCAAAAUUUUGUAUAGCAGAAUAUGGGGACACCUAAAAAGGGAAAAAAAAAGGUCGGAUCAAGUCGUAGUUCUACUUGUUAAGUUGAGAACAACAAAACUUCCUCUCUUUCCUUGGUCUCCUAAGGCUGACUAGGAGAAUGGCUUGUAGAAGCCAGUCUAGUAGCCAAGAAGAUAUUUUAAUGGUUUGUAUGGCACGUCUGUGCGUGUGGCUUUGAACUCUAGCAGCCGGAGGUUCCUGCAGAGAGCGCCGCAAAUCCCACUUGAUAACUUCGACAACCCACAACGUUUUACACACAGGUUAUGCAUUGCUGGUCUGCUAAAAAAAAAAAAAAAAAAAAUUUGAGUGAGUCGCGCAAGCUCAGCCAAACCGUGAUGGAUACAUUAGGUAUAGUUGUAGAUCCAAGUUAAAUACUGGCCUAUAUAUUCAAGGUAACCUUUGUGAACGCGGGGUGCUGGUGAGCAUGAUGUGGAAAUCUAAAGCACAGAUGUUCCACUGGUGUGCGCUUCAGUGGACGCCGAAACACAGUGUUGAAGUGAAACAGAGCUACAAAACUCGGACUGCGCACAAGAGGAAGAAAACAAAACGUUGUAUGGACUCAUUUGAAGUGAAACAGAUAAAGUGAUAAUCCCCUGCCUUUCGAGAGAGUGAUGACCCCAAAUGAACUUCAAAUAGCGGUUCCCCUAAGUUUUCCGAAUGAAACACAUAUAACCGUGUCUCUCUAUACCUGUACCUGGCACACGUGAUGACGGGUCCAGGUUAGAACUCUGUCAGGUUUCAUGAUCUCCUGAAUGCUGUCCCACGUGCAAUAAAUAAGAGAAGUGUCAGAUAAUAAUCAUUGAAAGCAGACAAACAGAUUGACGCAUCUGUCAGCCUGAGCGCUUAACUGUACAAAACGUUACCAAUUACACAAACAAAAAAAGGGCGUGCUUGGUAAUCUGAUGGCCAUGGCAACAAAGG